rnacentral:sRNA from 1 species
AUAAUAGUUUUUUAGUCAAUUAUCCUAAAACAACAAUCAUGUCGUUGUAGUAUUUUAGGUUGUCAAUCUAAAUGGGUGUGAUGCUAACAAUCAAGAUGUGAUCAGAAGUCACUAAGUCAAGCCAAGCAAUAACAGGUUUUGGUGUGUUCUAGCAGUCGUAAGUGAACAUGCAGAAAACAGAAAUUCAAGCAGAAACAGUAAAACACACGACCAACACAGCUCUUUGCAGAGCACUGGGUGAGGUCGAGUAACAGACAGAAAGUAUAACAGGGAUACUCGACUGCACAGUUUGUUGCCAGACAACUGGGUGGUCGAGUAUCAGGUCGAGUAACAGUAAAGAAUUGCAGAAACUAAGCAACAGAUGACAAGAUGCAGUAAACAACAGUAGAGUAAACAAAGAAUUCAAUCAGAUAAAGAAUUCCCGAGGAUGGGGUAAUUGAGUAGUUUCGUUUCCUCAGUUUAUAGGUGAUUGAUAUGCUCAAUAAAUUAACCCUAGACAACAAGUUCAUUAACCAAAUCUAAGUGCCACCGCAACAGAGACUCUCAAGUUAACCUAGUCACAGACUCAAUCACCAUUGACGAGAGCUAACCUAACAUGCAUUAUGAAUCAAAAAGUUAAAGCCAAAACGCUCCCUGCAACCAAUACCUUGGUACAGGGUCACGAAUCUCUGGAAUUAGUGGUUCAGACAUUUCAUCGAACACCUUUUGGGCGCGGAAAUGUCUGGGCUCAAAUUUCAGUUGAUCACAAAGCAAUAGGCAUUAAGAACAACUAAUCCAGAAGGGAUCUAUCAACCAAUACUCAAUCACCUAGCAUACUGAGAAUUCUACACUACUCUAACUCAUCCUCAGAAACCUAUUCACUACUCAGACAUCAUAACAGUAAGCAUAAACGUUGAACAAGUUGAAAACAUGGUAACAACAGUGUAACAGCAGGAUGAUAACAGAAUGAACAAUAGUAAACGAAAUUAAGAACAAAAGCUGAAUACUGAAUACUGAAUAGAUAAAGAGAAAUCCGGAUUACAAAAGGUAUAGAACACAAGGUCUGCGGAAUAAAACUAGAUAAAAACUUCUUGUUUGCA